rnacentral:rRNA from 1 species
UACGUAGGGGGCAAGCGUUGUCCGGAUUUAUUGGGCGUAAAGAGCGUGUAGGCGGCCAGGUAGGUCAGCUGUGAAAACUCGAGGCUCAACCUCGAGACGUCGGUUGAAACCACCUGGCUAGAGUCCGGAAGAGGAGAGUGGAAUUCCGUGGUGUAGCGGUGAAAUGCGCAGAUAUCAGGAGGAACACCGGUGGCGAAGGCGGUUCUCUGGGCAUUACCUGACGCUGAGGAGCGAAAGUGUGGGGAGCGAACAGGA